GGGUCAGUAGGUUGGUCGUGCCACCGGUACGUACUGGUCUCACUGAUUCCUCCUUCCUGAAGAACCGUAAUGCCAUUAAUUUGGUGUUGCGGGGAAACAGGACUGUUACUUUGAAAAAAUUCGAGUGUUUAAAGCAAGCUAACGCUUGAAUACAUUAGCAUGGAAUAAUGAAAUAGGACGAUCGAUCCUAUUUUGUUGGUUUCUAGGAUUGACGUA
rnacentral:rRNA from 1 species